UGCGCGCGCGCGUGCGUGUGCGCGUCCCCCACGUGCACUCCGCACUUGUCAGUCGCACUCCGAGAAAGGACGCAGAACACUCCGAGUGACUGCACACUUUUUGUGCUGCCUUUUUUUUUUAAACUAACAAAAAAAACAAUCAUUUAUAUUAGUUUUUUUUGUGCAACUUUGAAGGUUGGACUUGAGUUCUUUAUUUUUAAUUGUAUUUUUGGAAGUGAGGAGUAGACUGAUCCUGAUGCGCAAGAGCAUGCUCAUGCCGACAUCAGCGGAAAAGUUGGCAUCUGAAGGCAAAAGGCCGGCUAGGAUGAGGGGCUCACUGCAGAUGGAAACACGCGUGGGCGGUAGCAAGGAGGGAUGACUGAACUCCGAGACCCCCAGUGCAGAUCCUCAUCGUGAUCAUCAUGGCCAGAGGCUUCUUGUCUUCCUCCGCCUGUGGUCCACACCUCCACCCAGAGGUCCGAGCUGGGCGAGUGGGCAGAAGAGGGAUGGAGAAGCUCCCUGAAGGCGAGAACCAGGAGAAAUCAAUACCAAACACGCUGGCCUUGAAGUGGGGCUUUCCUCCGGUUGUCUGUGGCCUGGGGGCACGCAGGCCUCCAAAGGACGGGCCCUCUCAACUGGACCGGACCCCCUUUCUCCACUUGUGUGGUUUUGCUAAAGGGGAUCCCCCAUCACUUGCCACACCAGCACCCUGAAAGCUGAGACACAGCCAAAAGGGAUUUUUUUUUUCCAGCUGCAACAGAUUGACUUAUUCUCCACCUUCUUUCUUAGGACUUUUGACUCGUUUCAACAGUACAUCCUGAACAAAUGUCUUUUGCAAACCAGAAAAUCUUUUUCCCCCUCCUCCCAGAAAAAAUGGACUGAACAGCAAAGAAAACAAUAUAAUCAUUUGGGACUCCUGCUUGGAAUAGAUCAUCAAUAAACAAAUCAAUAGAUUUGACUGUUGGUCGUCUUGGAAAAAACUUCUAGUAACUAAUAGUCAAUGUCAAUUUUCUAUUAUUUUUGUUUUGUUUUCUGCUGUUUUCAGUGUUAUUAAACACAACAUGUAUGUGUACAGUUAUUAAACAUAACAUGUGUGUACAAUUAUUAAACACAACAAGUAUGUGUACAGUUAUUAAACUUAACAUGUGUGUGUACAAUUAUUAAACAUAACAUGUAUGUGUACAGUUAUUAAACAUAACAUGUGUGUGUAGUUAUUAAACAUAACAUGUGUGUACAGUUAUUAAACAUAACAUGUGUGUACAGUUAUUAAACAACAUGUGUAGUUAUUAAACAUAACGUGUGUGUAGUUGUUAAACAUAACGUGUGUAGUUAUUAAACACAAUAUGUGUGUACGGUUAUUAAACAUAACGUGUGUGUGUACAGUUAUUAAACAUAAUGUGUGUAGUUAUUAAACACAAUAUCUGUGUACAGUUAUUAAACAUGUGUGUGUACAGUUAUUAAACAUAACAUGUGUGUACAGUUAUUAAACAACAUGUGUAGUUAUUAAACAUAACAUGUGUGUACAGUUAUUAAACAUAACGUGUGUAGUUAUUAAACACAAUAUCUGUGUACAGUUAUUAAACGUGUGUGUACAGUUAUUAAACAUAACAUGUGUGUACAGUUAUUAAACAACAUGUGUAGUUAUUAAACAUAACGUGUGUGUAGUUGUUAAACAUAACGUGUGUAGUUAUUAAACACAAUAUGUGUGUACAGUUAUUAAACAUAACAUGUGUGUGUGUACAGUUAUUAAACAUAAUAUGUGUAGUUAUUAAACACAAUAUGUGUGUACAGUUAUUAAACAUAACGUGUGUAGUUAUUAAACACAAUGUGUGUACAGUUAUUAAACAUGUGUGUGUACAGUUAUUAAACAACACGUGUAGUUAUUAAACAUAACGUGUGUAGUUAUUAAACACAAUAUGUGUGUACAGUUAUUAAACAUAACAUGUGUGUGUACAGUUAUCAAACUGUGUGUAGUUAUUAAACAAUGUGUGUAGUUAUUUAACACAAUAUGUGUGUACAGGUUAUAAACAUAGCGUGUGUGUAGUUAUUAAACAUAACAUGUGCGUACAGUUAUGAAACAAAACGUGUGUAGUUAUUAAACACAGUAUGUGUGUACAGUUAUGAAACAUAACGUGUGUAGUUAUUAAACACAAUAUGUGUGUACAGUUAUUAAACAUAACGUGUGUAGUUAUUAAACACAAUAUGUGUGUAGUUAUUAAACAUAACGUGUGUGCAGUUAUUAAACAUAACGUGUGUUGUUGUUAAACAUAACAUGUGUGUGCAGUUAUUAAACAUAACGUGUGUCGUUGUUAAACAUAACAUGUGUGUGCAGUUAUUAAACAUAACGUGUGUGCAGUUAUUAAACAUAACGUGUGUAGUUGUUAAACAUAACAUGUGUGUGCAGUUAUUAAACAUAACGUGUGUCGUUGUUAAACAUAACAUGUGUGUGCAGUUAUUAAACAUAACAUGUAUUUACAAUAAAGAUCAC